GAAAAAACACGAAAACACAAAAGAUCAUCCAGCAAUACAAGUCAUUUGCAGUUGCUAUAACUCGAACAUUGUAGACAUCAAACGCCAGAAAGGUCAUCUCCCUGCCUCACUCAAACCCAUCACCCAACCGUAGUACCUCAUCUCUAUUUCUGAACUUAAUUACUGCUUCAGGCGACAAGCGUUUGAAUCCUAUCAACUCCUUCAAAAUCCUCGAUUCCUCAUAAAUGUCCUCUG